GACAGAGGCCCCGAGCGUUAGUCGGAAUUACUGGGCUUAAAGGGUGCGUAGGUGGGUUGAUAAGUCAGUGGUGAAAUCCCCGAGCUUAACUUGGGAACUGCCAUUGAUACUAUUGAUCUUGAAUACCGUGGAGGUCAGCGGAAUAUGUCAUGUAGCGGUGAAAUGCUUAGAUAUGACAUAGAACACCAAUUGCGAAGGCAGCUGGCUACGCGAAUAUUGACACUGAUGCACGAAAGCGUGGGGAUCAAACAGG
rnacentral:rRNA from 1 species